GAUUAACGCUGGCGGCGUGCCUAACACAUGCAAGUCGAGCGGCAGCGAGUUUUACACUGAAUUCUGGAAGCUUCUAGUUGAAAGAGAAGAUUUAUUCAAGAAUUUUGUGUAAAAUGUCGGCGAGCGGCGGACGGCUGAGUAACGCGUGGGAACGUACCCCAAAGUGAGGGAUAACGCAUCGAAAGGUGUGCUAAUACCGCAUAUGGUCUUCGGAUUAAAGCCUUCGGGCGCUUUGAGAACGGCCCGCGUAAGAUUAGAUAGUUGGUGGGGUAAUGGCCUACCAAGUCGACGAUCUUUAACUGGUUUGAGAGGAUGAUCAGUCAGACUGGAACUGAGACACGGUCCAGACUCCUACGGGAGGCAGCAGUGAGGAAUCUUCCACAAUGGGCGAAAGCCUGAUGGAGCAACGCCGCGUGCAGGAUGAAGGCCUUCGGGUUGUAAACUGCUUUUAUAAGUGAGGAUUAUGACAGUAACUUAUGAAUAAGGAUCGGCUAACUACGUGCCAGCAGCCGCGGUCAUACGUAGGAUCCGAGCGUUAUCCGGAGUGACUGGGCGUAAAGAGUUGCGUAGGUGGUUCAAUAAGCGAAUAGUGAAAGCUGGUGGCUCAACCAUUCAGACUAUUAUUCGAACUGUUGAACUCGAGAGCAGAAGAGGUAGCUGGAAUUUCUAGUGUAGGAGUGAAAUCCGUAGAUAUUAGAAGGAACACCGAUGGCGUAGGCAGGCUACUGGGCUGUUUCUGACACUGAGGCACGAAAGCGUGGGGAGCGAACCGGAUUAGAUACCCGGGUAGUCCACGCCGUAAACGAUGGAUACUAGCUGUUUGGGGUAUCGACCCCCUGAGUAGCGAAGCUAACGCGUUAAGUAUCCCGCCUGUGGAGUACGAUCGCAAGAUUAAAACAUAAAGGAAUUGACGGGGACCCGCACAAGCGGUGGAUCAUGUUCUUUAAUUCGAUGAUAACCGAUAAACCUUACCAGGUCUUGACAUCCUUGGAAUCUUUCAGAAAUGAGAGAGUGCUUUUUAAGAGCCAAGUGACAGGUGAUGCAUGGCCGUCGUCAGCUCGUGUCGUGAGAUGUUUGGUUAAGUCCAUCAACGAGCGCAACCCUUGUCAGUAGUUGUAUUUUUCUACUGAGACUGCCCCGGUAACGGGGAGGAAGGAGGGGAUGACGUCAGGUCAGUAUUUCCCUUACGUCCUGGGCUAGAAACGUGAUACAAUGGCUAGUACAAUGCGCAGCGAAGCCGCGAGGUGAAGCAAAUCGCAUCAAAGCUAGUCCCAGUUCGGAUUGUAGGCUGAAACUCGCCUGCAUGAAGUCGGAAUCGCUAGUAAUCGCAGAUCAGCAUGCUGCGGUGAAUACGUUCCCGGGUCU
rnacentral:rRNA from 1 species